rnacentral:rRNA from 1 species
UACGUAGGGCGCAAGCGUUGUCCGGAAUUAUUGGGCGUAAAGAGCUCGUAGGCGGCCUGUUGCGUCCGCUGUGAAAUCCCGGGGCUCAACCCCGGGCGUGCAGUGGAUACGGGCUGGCUGGAGGCAGGCAGGGGAGAACGGAAUUCCUGGUGUAGCGGUGAAAUGCGCAGAUAUCAGGAGGAACACCGGUGGCGAAGGCGGUUCUCUGGGCCUGUUCUGACGCUGAGGAGCGAAAGCGUGGGGAGCGAACAGG